UCCAGGGUAGCCUAGUGGACAUGGCCGGUAAGCGGAACACUGUGGGUUCGAUUCGCAUCCCUGGAC